GACGAACGCUGGCGGCGUGCUUAAAACAUGCAAGUCGAACGGACUUCUCAUGAAGCUUGCGAUUGAGAAGUUAGUGGCGGACGGGUGAGUAACGCGUGGGCAACCUGCCCCUGAGCCCGGGAUAACAGUUCGAAAGGACUGCUAAGACCGGAUAUACUUGCGGGGAAGCAUUUCUCUGUAAGGAAAGGGAACGCUCAGGGGAUGGGGCCCGCGUCCCAUUAGCUAGUUGGUGAGGUAACGGCCCACCAAGGCGACGAUGGGUAGCCGGCCUGAGAGGGUGAACGGCCACACUGGGACUGAGACACGGCCCAGACUCCUACGGGAGGCAGCAGUUGGGAAUCUUCGGCAAUGGGCGCAAGCCUGACCGAGCAACGCCGCGUGAGUGAUGAAGGCCUUCGGGUUGUAAAGUGCUUUUGAAGGGAAGAGGAAGGACGGUACCUUCAGAAUAAGUCUCGGCUAACUACGUGCCAGCAGCCGCGGUAAACAUAACUCGUA
rnacentral:rRNA from 1 species